GAAGGCUGUAAGUGUCUCAAUAUAUCCACCUCACAUCCAUCAAGUGUUGUCCCGCACUUGAUAGAGCCUGAGAGAAUAAAAUGCCUUUGCAUUACAUCUGAUGUGUGCCAAUGGGUGCUAAUAAUAAUAAUAUUAUUAUCAAUAACAAUAGUACUCUGGGGAAGUUCUAAACAUUUUAAUAGUUGGUGAGCUAAAAGCAAAAACCGGGGGGGGGGGGGGUGAGCCUUGGAAGCCCUCCCAUUGCCGCCAAUGGAAUGAAAAUAUUUGUGUUUUUUGUUAGCCAGAUGAAAAAUUGUGUCGUAUAGGCGGCCCUUUUUCGUUAGCGGGAACCAAAUACGAAAAUGAGAAACACAAAUGAAACUACACAAAACAAACAGCAAUUCCAUACAAAAGCACAACACUAAUACUCAAUAUUGUGAAUAUAACAAACUUAUGUUUCAUUGUAUACUAUUUUUGUUGUCCUUUUUACAAGUUGUUGAAACAAGUCUGUGUUGUAAUAGUAGAUUAUUGCUUUUCUGAUUCAAGGGAAUCCAUUUUCUUUACAUUACUUUUCAAAAUACCAUCAGGCUGGUGGCAACCAUUUUGAACACCCAAUCUAACAGAAUGGAAGCGAUGGAAAAAAGUGUCAACGACUGGUGGAAAAAUCUACAAAGGGUGCUAUUACUUGGCCCAUUUUGGGCAUCCUGGUGCCAGUUCUUCUUUUGGUGGGAUCCCCAGCAGACCUAAGUCCAGGAGCCACUCAAGGAUGUGAAGAUGGCGAAAGGCUUCAGCGGUUCUCAUGUCAUUUGGCAUCUGAAAAACCCAAUGCUCCAUGAAUUGAAGCUACGAAGCCUCUCUCGCCACUCUGCCUGGAGGGCCUCGGAGCGAUCGCUAAAGGGAGCAUGCUAAUGUUGUCCAUCCCAAUUAUCGCUCCCAUUAUCAGUACUUUGCAAACAAAAAUCCCCCGACUCUUGGAUAAUUACGGGAGCCAAGGGCUGGUGGGCGAUUGUGUCGGUUAAUGACCCUAUUUUCUCUCUCUCUCCAUCUGAAAGGUAAGGUAAUAGUUUUCUGGGGCAAAGCGCAGUGAUGCACUUAUUGCACGGAGCCAUUAUUAUGGCACAAAGCCUUCUGGAGGUUUGGCUCAUUUCCCCAUCUGUCUCUGUUCGGGAGCAUGGAGCUGUGUGGGCUCACUUAGAACAGGAGGAUCCUCUGCAACACGGAGAGAUGAGUGAAAUAUUUCAGGGAUAUUUUGCAGACUGUUUUUAGUGCAGCUUCUCUACUGCAUUGUGAGAGACUCUCAAGUUUGGACUCAUUCAACAGCCAUGCAAAACAAUCAUCUGAAAGUCAGGUCAAGGCAGACUUUCAAAAAGGAACCUCGGAGACUUGUUCCGAUGGGGAGCCCACGUGCCAUCCUCCGCUCCAGUCCCGGGAGAAAACAAUUCUAAGAACGGAAAGAUGCGUCAUGAUUACAGAUGACCACGAUUUGGAUGCUGGAAUCAAACACUCCAAUUGAGGGGGGUUUCUUUCUCCCCCUUUUUUUCCUCCCACUUGGAAGGCUGACAUUCUGAAUUGCAAUUUGGGGUUCUGCCUGAGCAUUUCAUCUGCAGUAAUGAUACUUGGAAACCAAUUGAGCAGAUCCAUUCAACACAUCCAUUCAUUUCUCUGAUGGAACCAGCCCGGCCUCAUUAAAUGGGAACAGCAUAAUCGGA